UUUCCAUUGAUCAUGAGCAUCCUGUAUAACUUCAGUUCCAAGACCAGGUGAUAUGUCAGGCUCAGUCUGUCCUGGUGGGAAGGCAGGCCAUGAGAAGGGGUCAUAGGACUCGUGGUAGGUUUCAUAGAAUCUGGUGGAGGUGGAACAUUCAGUUGGAUGACCAGCACUCCAAAGUAUGGAGUGGCACUCUGAUGGCAAGUCCUGGGGAAAGACCCAGCACCUCAUGCUAGUUCCGCUGCCAAGUCCUAUUCCUGUAAACAUUUUAUUCUGUUUCACUGGACUUCAGGCAGAAUUCCUGUUAGCUCGAUACGGGGCAUGUUGGCUGCUGGAGCCUAAACAAUCUGCAUGGAUGAGCAGGAAAUGCUGAAGUACUUGGGAGUCGCCAAAUUUGAGGACAAGCAGGAACAAGUAACCCAUCUUGUGUAUCAGGAAGAUGAUGCAGGAUUCUUUAUUUUAUUGUAAAAAUUUAUUCUGAACUUAGUGACCAUCACCAGAGACAUACAAACAAAAAUAAAAUGAAUUCUAUUAUUUAUUGUUUGCUAAAA
rnacentral:lncRNA from 1 species